CUGGAUGUCGUCAUUGUGUUCUAAGAAUCUGGGACAUCCACGUUUCUAGAGUCACAGCUGGAUGUCGUCAUUGUGUUCUAAGAAUCUGGGACAUCCACGUUUCUAGAGUCACAGCUGGAUGUCGUCAUUGUGUUCUAAGAAUCUGGGACAAUGUGUUUUACCACUUUAAUACACACCAGUGAAUUUGUCCCAAUACUUUUGGUACCUUAAAGGAGGGGGACUAUGGUCAAAAAGGGCUGUAGUUUCUAAACGGUUCACCCAAUAUGGAUGAAAAUACCCUCAGAGCCAAAACAACCUAAAUGGGUCCCUGUCUCAAUACUGUUGGAGAUCACUGUAUCAUUUCCAAUCCAUAGUGCUGGAGUACAGAGCCAAAACAACCAACAUGGGUCCCUAGUGGUACGGACAGAAACAGUGGAGGGGGAGUCUGUAGUGGUACGGACAGAAACAGUGGAGGGGGAGUCUAGUGUGGUACGGACAGAAACAGUGGAGGGGGAGUCUGUAGUGGUACGGACAGAAACAGUGGAGGGGGAGUCUAGUGGUACGGAGAGAAACAGUGGAGGGGGAGUCUAGUGGUACGGACAGAAACAGUGGAGGGGGAGUCUAGUGGUACGGACAGAAACAGUGGAGGGGAGUCUGUAGUGGUACGGACAGAAACAGUGGAGGGGGAGUCUGUAGUGGUACGGACAGAAACAGUGGAGGGGGAGUGUAGUGGUACGGACAGAAACAGUGGAGGGGAGUCUAGUGGUACGGACAGAAACAGUGGAGGGGGAGUCUAGUGGUACGGACAGAAACAGUGGAGGGGGAGUCUAGUGGUACGGACAGAAACAGUGGAGGGGUCAGGGAGACUGAGGGCCUUUAACUGAACAUCUUCUGAUGUGUUGCCAUGGCAGCACAUCAACCAGCAUCAACUUUGUGUUUGUAAUUCCAGAGGGUUUCUUGUUGCUUAUAACUGAUCUUAUGGAUAUCCAUCUACAGGGUGCAUUUAGUUACGUUACAGAAAUAAAUGUCCACUUUAAUUUCCGUUAAAACCUGUUUGGAUUGUCUCUACACAGUCAGACUAAUCACACACAGCGAACCUGCCAAUCAUAUAAUUCAACCGUAUCCAUUGGCCAGCCUCUGAUGCGCUUUCCAAUCUGUCAAAACGUUUCCAUGGUUUUGCACAUUUUUUUAUUUUUCGAUAGUAGUUUUUUGUUAUGCGGUUGUUCCAUUUCUGGGUGUUUUGUCCAAUAAACUAACGGUAUUCUGAAAUCA
ensembl:lncRNA